rnacentral:rRNA from 1 species
UACGUAGGGGGCAAGCGUUGUCCGGAUUUAUUGGGCGUAAAGAGCGUGUAGGCGGCCUGAAAGGUCAGCUGUGAAAACUCGAGGCUCAACCUCGAGACGUCGGUUGAAACCAUCUGGCUAGAGUCCGGAAGAGGAGUGUGGAAUUCCCGGUGUAGCGGUGAAAUGCGCAGAUAUCGGGAAGAACACCCGUGGCGAAGGCGGCACUCUGGGACGGUACUGACGCUGAGACGCGAAAGCUAGGGGAGCAAACAGG